rfam:Escherichia vulneris NBRC 102420 DNA, contig: EV10242010.
UAUGGCUGGUGCUGGCGUUCGAGUCAGCAACCUGCAUAUGUUUUUGGACGCAGGGGUGGAGGAGGUACACAGCUCCGCAGGAAUGUGGACGCCGUCGCCCAUGCGUUACCGUCAACAGGGAUUGUCGAUGUCAUCUGAUGCGCAGUCGGAUGAGUAUCUGCGCUAUUGCGUGGACGGUGAAAUUGUAGCGGAAAUGAAAGCGAUGAUUGCCCGUCAUCGUGCGUUCUGACCCUUUUUUACCGCACAUCAUGUCGCCCAAUAUGAUGCUUGCUUUGUACCAGGCCCCUGCCAUUUCAACAGGGGCCAUUUUUU